UACGGGGGGAGCAAGCGUUGUUCGGAUUUACUGGGCGUAAAGGGCGCGUAGGCGGUCAGCACAAGUCAGUUGUGAAAUCUCCGGGCUUAACUCGGAAAGGUCAACUGAUACUGUGCGACUAGAGUGCAGAAGGGGCAACUGGAAUUCCCGGUGUAGAGGUGAAAUUCGUAGAUAUCGGGAGGAACACCAGUGGCGAAGGCGGCGAUCUGGGAAGAUACUGACGCUGAGGUGCGAAAGCGUGGGGAGCAAACAGG
rnacentral:rRNA from 1 species